rnacentral:rRNA from 1 species
CCCGUAGUUGACGACGUGUGUUCAGUGAAAUCGAGUAGGGCGGGACACGUGAUAUCCUGUCUGAAUAUGGGGGGACCAUCCUCCAAGGCUAAAUACUACUGACUGACCGAUAGUGAACCAGUACCGUGAGGGAAAGGCGAAAAGAACCCCUGUGAGGGGAGUGAAAUAGAACCUGAAACCGUGUACGUACAAGCAGUAGGAGCAGGCUU